GAUGAACGCUGGCGGCGUGCCUAAUACAUGCAAGUCGAGCGAACAGACGAGGAACUUUCUCCUCUGACGUUAGCGGCGGACGGGUGAGUCACACGUGGAUAACCUACCUAUAAGACUGGGAUAACUUCGGGAAACCGGAGCUGAUACCGGAUAACAUGUUGAACCGCAUGGUUUAACAUUGAAAUACGGUUUUGCUGUCACUUAUACAUGGAUCCGCGUCGCAUUAGCUAGUUGGUAAGGUAACGGCUUACCAAGGCAACGAUGCGUAGCCGACCUGAGAGGGUGAUGGAGCACACGGGAACUGAGACACGGUCCAGACUCCAACGGGAGGCAGCCGUAGGGAAUCUUCCGCAAUGGGCGGAAGCCUGACGGGGCAACGCCGCGUGAGUGAAGAAGGUCUGCGGAUCGUAAAACUCUGUUAUUAGGGAAGAACAAAUGUGUAAGUAACGAUGCACGUCGUGACGGUACCUAAUCAGAAAGCCGCGGCUAACUACGUG
rnacentral:rRNA from 1 species